rnacentral:rRNA from 1 species
UACGUAGGGGGCGAGCGUUGUCCGGAUUUAUUGGGCGUAAAGAGCUCGUAGGCGGUUUGGUAAGUUGGAUGUGAAAUCUCCAGGCUCAACUUGGAGGGGUCAUUCGAUACUGCCAUGACUAGAGUUCGGUAGGGGAGUGUGGAAUUCCUGGUGGAGCGGUGAAAUGCGCAGAUAUCAGGAGGAACACCCGUAGCGAAGGCGGCACUCUGGGCCGGAACUGACACUGAGGAGCGAAAGCGUGGGGAGCGAACAGG